CCUCCAGCCCAACAUGGCGGCGGCCGCCCUCGGGCCCGGGCUUGCCCUCGCGCGCGCCGGCGGGCGGGAAGACAGCCCGACCGCGCCAGGCCCCCUUUCGCCGCUGCCGCUGCUCGCUGAAGGAGUCGCCUUCCCGACGUGACUGACGGCCUCGCCGCGGAGCCCCAGAGCCCGCCGAGGACCGGGCGGGCGAGGGCCGGGCGGGCGAGUGCCGGAGGUGCGCUGAGGGUGCCCUGUUGAUAGUUCCUUGAGCUGUAAGUUGAUCUUCUGAAUAAAAGAUAUAUCCAUUAUUGAAAGCAGGGCAUUGAAAUACCUUACCAUUAUUGUGUUGGGUCUGCCUCUCUCUUCGGUUCUGUCAGUGUUUGCUUCAUAGACUGAAAUGCUUUGAUAUCAGGUGACUAUGAUGUGUAUAUGUGAAAGAUGCAUGGAUCUUCACCAUAAAUCUACAGUUGACACCCAAAUGCAGUGGCUCCCUGGCUUUGCUGUGUGCCAGAAUUGUGAGAGAAACUUGGGAAAAUACAGAUGUCCAGGCCCCACCCAAAAGCAACUGAAUCAGAGACUCCCAGGAAGGGCACCGGAUCACAUAGGAGGAAGUUAUCUCCACAAGGACAAAUAAGUGAAGAAAAGGCUCCCAGUGCUCAGCUGCCUUGUGAAUGACGCCCCUUUAGUCCUGUGGUGCUGCAUUACUUAUGUUUCCCAUCUGCUGCCCUUGUUUCCAGACUAUCUCUGCUCUCCACACCCUGGGGACCCACUCAGCUCCGUGGAGCGCACCAGCCGCUGCUCUAGUGAUGCCUGCGCUCGUGCCCCAGUGAAUGGCUGCCGCAAGCCCACCAGCCUCCCGGUUCAGGCCAUCAGGAGGGUGCUGACCUGCUGCAGGCCCUGCACUCUCGCUUCUGAGUCAGGCAUGGUUUGCAGCUUUCCUCCGCUGUGCCUGGGACCAGGCAGCAGGCUGGGCUUAUUGUUUCAAGUGGCACCAACUGUAAAAUUACAUGCCAGCUGCACAGCCUGCAUGAGAGACAACAAUUGUGGGGUGAAGACCAGAGGGCACAAGUGCCAAGGGCACUCCAUGGGGACUGUGGGCAGCUACCCAUGACUGCCAGCCUCGGCCAGGCCUCAGUGUCAAUACAGAGAAGGCCCAAGGAAAUAACAAAACACCUGGUCACUCCUGAAUGCUCCGUGUUGUCCCCUCCUCCCCUCCCAAGCACUGAAGAGACAAGCCUCCUGCUCAGGCACCCCGCAGACACUUUCCUUGCCAACACCUUCCUUUGCCACAGCUGCAGGGCCAGGCUGUGCCACCACCCGGUUGCUGUCUCUUCCCAAGGACAAGAGUCUAGGGGCUUAGGUGUGAGGUGGGGUGUUGGGACCAAGAACAAGCUCAGGACUGGUGGGCAGUACGCAUUAUACAAUCGAUCACCAUUUCUGAAGCUUUGCAAGCGAGAGCUCUGCUAUAAGACUAAAUGUUCUAACAGAAAAUUUUGUAGUCAUGUUGAAAUUAGGAUGGCUAAUGUUCAGCGCCACUAAGCCGAAGUGGAAAAGGAGGAAGAGGCCUGUAAAGGAGGUCCUCCUGCUGACGAUUCACACCUGCCACCGGGUGCCAAAGUGGCUAAAUUGCAGGGCUUGGGGGUUUUAGUGUUUGUUUUUUAUUUUGGACAGAAAAAAAAAUUUCUUGUUAUAAAAGCAUCCUUCAAGAAAAGAAAAGAAAUACACUACCUACUGAACUCUUUCUUUAUAUAGGCACCGGGCUAACGCUGUAUCUACUUUAUCUGACUCAAACCUCCUAAUACCCUGUGGGAAGUAGUUAUGAUUCCUAUUUUGUGGAUGAGCAGCCUGAGGCUCAGAGAAAAAGGGGCUUUUCAAAGACCCUUCAUCUAUUCUCCUAAGGUUAGACACCUGGGAACAAAAGACCAUUCUCACCUAGCAACAGGGAUGCCUUUCAAGGCCUCUUGACUAGGCUCUCAAACAGCAGCCAUUCUUGCAAAGGGACAUUCAUCUGGCUCCUCCAGGCCCCAGAGGGAGUCAACUCACUGGUCAAGGGGCCCACUGUGAAGAUGGACCCAGGAGGUUUCAUAGCCACAGGGAUGUUGGCUCUUUCUGCAUACCACAGAAGGCCCUGUCCCGCAAGAGAUUUGCACUCCUGGCCAAAAUGGAGAAGCGGAGACCAAACUAACUCUCCCUUCUGAAACAGCAGAUAGAUAGAUAGAUAGAUAGAUAGAUAGAUAGAUAGAUAGAUAGAUAGAUAGAUAGAUAGAUAGAUAGAUAGAUAGAUAGAUAGAUAGAUGGAUGGAUGAUAGAUAGAUAGAUGAUAUAUAGAUGACAGAUAGGAAAUAGAUGGUAAAUGAAAGACAUGAAGCAAUGGUUUUCAAGACACUGGACAUAAGGUGAUGGAGGAUUCCUAAGAGAAAACAAAUGAGAUGAACUCUACAGUUGCCCCCAAUGUACUAUUUUGAGAGUUUCCAGUCUACAGCACAGGGAGGGGGAACUGAGGCAGAGCCCAGCAGAUUCCUUGACAGUUGAGGAGAUGGAGCUAAUAGUUCUAAGAGACCAAGGAAGCUAGAAUUUAUAGGGCAGAGUGGCAGAAAGGAUAGAGCUGCACAAGAGAGAACUCCACUCUUAAGUGUAUACCCAAAAGGAUUUAAAACAGGUGCUGAGACAAAUCCUCAUAUAUGAAUAUUCAUAGCCAAAAGGUGAAAACAACCCGGAUGUCUCUCAAGAGAAGAAUGAUAAACAAAAUGUGGCAUAUGCAUUCAAUGGAAUAUUAUUCAGCCAUAAAAAAGAAUGAAGUAGUGAUACAUACAAGGACAUGGGCAUACCCCCAAAACACUAUGCUAAUUGGAAGAAGCCAGACACAAGGUCCACAUACUCUGUGAUUCCAUUUAUAUGAAACAUCCAGAAUAGGUAAAUCAAUAGAGACAGAAAGAGGUUGGUUAUUGUCAGAGGAGGGAACGGGAGUGACUACUCAGGGGGUACUGGGUCUAAUUUUGGAGCAGUAAAAAUGUUUUGGAACUAGAUAGAGGUGAUAGUUGCACUGCAUUGUGAAUGUACCAAAUGCCAUUGAAUUAUUUACUUUAAAAUGGUUAACUUUAUGUUAUGUAAAUUUUUACCUCCAUGAGAAAAAAAUUUGAGAUGAAAUAAAACCACAAAGAACCACGAGAUAGCACCACAUGCCUGUUAGAAUGGCUCAAAAUAAAAAGAUUGACCAUACCAAGUAUUGAUGAGAGUGUGGAGGAACUGGAACCUCAUACACAGCUGGUGGGAAUAGACCAACACCCUGGGACAGUUUUGCUAUUUCUUAAAAUAUCAGCUACACCUACCAUGUGACCCAGGGUCAAGUUCACUGACUUGACUGUGGUGAUGUUUUCACAGGUGUAUAGCAUGUGAAAAAUUUAUUAAGUUGUACAUUUUAAAUGUAUAUAGUUUAUUAUGUGUCAAUUAUACCUCAAUAAACCCUAAAACUUUUUUAAAUAAAAAUAUAUAAAGACGUAAGAAGGAU